UGGGGAAUAUUGGACAAUGGGCGCAAGCCUGAUCCAGCCAUGCCGCGUGAGUGAUAAAGGCCCUAGGGUUGUAAAGCUCUUUUGUGCGGGAAGAUAAUGACUGUACCGCAAGAAUAAGCCCCGGCUAACUUCGUGCCAGCAGCCGCGGUAAUACGAAGGGGGCUAGCGUUGCUCGGAAUCACUGGGCGUAAAGGGUGCGUAGGCGGGUCUUUAAGUCAGGGGUGAAAUCCUGGAGCUCAACUCCAGAACUGCCUUUGAUACUGAGGAUCUUGAGUUCGGGAGAGGUGAGUGGAACUGCGAGUGUAGAGGUGAAAUUCGUAGAUAUUCGCAAGAACACCAGUGGCGAAGGCGGCUCACUGGCCCGAUACUGACGCUGAGGCACGAAAGCGUGGGGAGCAAACA
rnacentral:rRNA from 1 species